AGCAGCCGCGGUAAUUCCAGCUCCAAUAGCGUAUAUUAAAGUUGUUGCAGUUAAAAAGCUCGUAGUUGAAUUUCGGGAUUGGCACAUCGGUCGUGCCUUACGGGGUAUGAACUGGUGUAGCCAAUUUCUCACCUUCUGGAGAACCGCGAUGUCCUUAAUUGGGUGCCGCGAGGAACCAGGACCUUUACUUUGAAAAAAUUAGAGUGUUUAAAGCAGGCAUUUUGCUUGAAUACAUUAGCAUGGAAUAAUAAAAUAGGACGGCAUGAUUCUAUUUUGUUGGUUUCUAGGAUCACCGUAAUGAUUAAUAGGGAUAGUUGGGGGCAUUAGUAUUCAAUUGUCAGAGGUGAAAUUCUUGGAUUUAUUGAAGACUAACUACUGCGAAAGCAUUUGCCAAGGAUGUUUUCAUUAAUCAAGAACGAAAGUUAGGGGAUCGAAGACGAUCAGAUACCGUCGUAGUCUUAACCAUAAACUAUGCCGACUAGGAAUCAGACGAUGUUAAUUUUUUAAUGACUCGUUUGGCACCUUACG
rnacentral:rRNA from 1 species